CACCGGCAGCUCUAGUGGUAGCAGUUUUUAUUGGGCCUAAAGCGUCCGUAGCCGGUUUAAUAAGUCUCUGGUGAAAUCCUGUAGCUUAACUGUGGGAAUAGCUGGAGAUACUAUUAGACUUGAGACCGGGAGAGGUUAGAGGUACUCCCAGGGUAGAGGUGAAAUUCUGUAAUCCUGGGAGGACCGCCUGUUGCGAAGGCGUCGAACUGGAACGGUUCUGACGGUGAGGGACGAAAGUUAGGGGCGCGAACCGGAUUAGAUACCCGGGUAGUCCUAACUGUAAACGAUGCGGACUUGGUGUUGGGGUGGCUUUGAGCUGCUCCAGUGCCGAAGGGAAGCUGUUAAGUCCGCCGCCUGGGAAGUACGGUCGCAAGACUGAAACUUAA
rnacentral:rRNA from 1 species